rnacentral:rRNA from 1 species
UACAUAUGGUGCAAGCGUUGUCCGGAAUGACUGGGCGUAAAGGGUGCGUAGGUUGGCGAACAAGUCAGGUGUGAAAUCCCAGGGCUUAACCUUGGAAUUGCGCUUGAAACUGUUUGUCUAGAGCAUGUGAGGGGUUAGUGGAAUUCCCGGAGUAGCGGUGAAAUGCGUAGAGAUCGGGAAGAACACCGGUGGCGAAGGCGGCUAACUGGCACAUUGCUGACACUGAGGCACGAAAGCGUGGGGAGCGAACAGGAUUAGAUACCCUGGUAGUCCACGCUGUAAACGAUGUAUACUAGAUGUCAGAAUCGAUCAAAAGAAUUUGGUGUCGAAGCUAACGCGAUAAGUAUACCGCCUGGGGAGUACGGUCGCAAGAUUAAA